rnacentral:rRNA from 1 species
AUUGAACGCUGGCGGCAGGCCUAACACAUGCAAGUCGAACGAGUGGCGGACGGGUGGGGAAGGGCUGGGAAACUGCCCGAUGGAGGGGGAUAACUACUGGAAACGGUAGCUAAUACCGCCAACCAUCGUAUGUGGCCAGAUUGCAUUAGCUAGUAGGUGGGGUAACGGCGCACCUAGGCGACGCUCCCUAGCUGGUCUGAGAGGAUGACCAUCCACACUGGAACUGAGACACGGUCCAGACUCCUACGGGAGGCAGCAGUGGGGAAUAUUGCACAAUGGGCGCAAGCCUGAUGCAGCCAUGCCGCGUGUAUGAAGAAGGCCUUCGGGUUGUAAAGUACUUUCAGCGAGGAGGCGUUACUCGCAGAAGAAGCACCGGCUAACUCCGUGCCAGCAGCCGCGGUAAUAC